GGGCGGUCUAACAUUCAGUGCCAUACCUGCAAGCAAUGGGGCCACAUGGCGAGAGAGUGUACCCAGAACCAGAGCCGUCAAGCAUGGAGCCAAGUACGACCGAACCCAGCACCACGAGCAGCCGCGCACCACUACCAGGCAGAGCCAGCACCCCAGGAGCUAAUGUUUAAUCACACCGAAGAGCCCCUGGGAAUACUGCAUGACGUGAUUUCUGUACAAGCCACAGACAAUAGGCACCCUCAUCGCCAGAUGGUAACCUUGGAAGGGAAAGAAGUACAAGGGCUCCGAGAUUCGGGGGCCACUCUGACUCUAGUAGCACCUCAUCUGGUUCCAGGCUCGGCGCACAAAGGCGGAUCCGUGGCAGUUUGAGUAGCAGGGGAAGCGAUGUACCAAUUGCCAACAGCCAAAGUACACUUGAAUUGGGGUGUGGGGGAAGGGAUGGUGAAGGUGGGCAGAAUGACUUCAGCUUUUGUACCUCAAGCCCCGCUCCAAGAGGCGCACCCGGUCACCACAAGACAACAGGCUCGCACCAUGGCUUCAUCCACACACUCUGAGGCUCAGGUAAGAGAAAAUGUACCCCCUAUGAUCCGUGUUCCCUGGGAUACCCCGACUGAAUUUGGAGCAAAGGUUAAGGGAGACCCUACUGUGGUCUUGCAUUGGAGAAGCCUGGUUGCUUGCCUGCUGCCUUUGGACUAUGGCCCCCUUUUAAAAGACUUUAUUUUUGCCUGCAGAAAAGCUGUAUUCGUGCUUUUCUGCCUGGGGUUCAGUAGAUUUGUUUGAAUGUGUUAUACCCCAGAUAGGAAUCCCAUGGAGCCCAUUCGUAUGAAACUGACUGUAAAGACUUUGGCUCCA